rnacentral:rRNA from 1 species
AGUGAACGCUGGCGGUAGGCCUAACACAUGCAAGUCGAACGGCAGCACAGUAAGAGCUUGCUCUUACGGGUGGCGAGUGGCGGACGGGUGAGGAAUACAUCGGAAUCUACUUUUUCGUGGGGGAUAACGAAGGGAAACUUACGCUAAUACCGCAUACGACCUACGGGUGAAAGCAGGGGAUCUUCGGACCUUGCGCGAUUGAAUGCGCCGAUGUCGGAUUAGCUAGUUGGCGGGGUAAAGGCCAACCAAGGCGACGAUCCGUAGCUGGUCUGAGAGGAUGGUCAGCCACACUGGAGCUGAGACACGGUCCAGACUCCUACGGGAGGCAGCAGUGGGGAAUAUUGGACAAUGGGCGCAAGCCUGAUCCAGCCAUACCGCGUGUGUGAAGAAGGCCUUCGGGUUGUAAAGCCCUUUUGUUGGGAAAGAAAAGCAGCAGGUUAAUACCCCGCUGUUCUGACGGUACCCAAUGAAUAAGCACCGGCUAACUUCGUG